rnacentral:tRNA from 1 species
GGACUUGUAGCUCAGGUGGUUAGAGCGCACGCCUGAUAAGCGUGAGGUCGGAGGUUCGAGUCCUCCCAGGUCCA